GAGGGUAUAGUUCAAGUGGUAGAGCGUAUACUUAGCAUGCAUGAGGUCCUGGGUAUAAUCCCCAGUACUUCCU
rnacentral:tRNA from 1 species